rnacentral:rRNA from 1 species
AUUGAACGCUGGCGGCAUGCUUUACACAUGCAAGUCGAACGGUAACAGGUCUUCGGAUGCUGACGCUCGGCGGACGGGCGAGUAAUACACCGGAACGUGCCCGACCGUGGGGGAUAACGUGGCGCAAGCUUUGUUAAUAUCGCACACGAUCUGCGGACGAAAGCGGGGGAUCUGCGGAACGCUUGUCGGCGGAGCAGGCGCUGGCGGCUUAGGUAGUUGGUGGGGUGAAAAUUUACUAAGCCGGCGAUCUGUAGCUGGUCUGAGAGGAGGGUGUGCGACACUGGAGGUUAGACACGGCCCAUACUCCUACGAGAGGCAGCAGUGGGGAAUUUUAGACAGUGGGCGAAAGCCUGAUCCAGCCAUGGCGCGUGCAGGGUGAAGGCCCUGGGUUUGUGAACUGCUUCUGUGCGGAGCGAAAAGCCUCUUUCUAAUACGGAGGGGUAAUGACGGUACCGUAAGAAUAAGCACCGGCUAACUACGUG